rnacentral:tRNA from 1 species
GCGCUUGUAACUCAGCUUGGAUAGAGUGUCAGGUUCCUAACCUGGAAGUCGCAGGUUCAAAUCCUGCCGAGCGCA